CUGGCAAGCCAGCUCCCACAGGGAUCUUCAGCGAUCACAAAUGUUGAGAACAGACCGAAAACCUGUGGGAGCUGGCUUGCCAG
rnacentral:antisense_RNA from 1 species